rnacentral:lncRNA from 10 species
CCAUGAGUCACAGCAGCUGGCUCAAGGCUGGGAGGGGAAGUAAAACACUAAAUCUAAGGACCACUCUAUUCACCCUACAGUGACUGCUCUUUUUCCCUCCUGCCACAGUCCAGGGUAGGAGAUACUUCUCCAGGCUCUCACUUAUGGGGGCUUUCCUGCUGGCUACAUCACUGAAAUGGAAUCUCCUAGUGGCCCUUCUCCCUCUACAGCUCUGGUGUUACACUGAAAAACUAGAAGUUUCAAAACAGACAAGGGAAAAAGAGAAACAUCAGAAAGUCUGAUUAAAGUAGAAGCAUCAUAUUUCUAUCAACGUAUCCACUGUGCUUGGACACAAUUGCAGGCCCUUGACAUCUUUUGCCUGGAUUAUUGCAACAGCCUCCAAAAGGACUCGUCUGUCUCCAUGAUACCCCUCCAUCCUCCUCUGCAUCAUCACCAAGGGAAUCUUUGUAAAGCAAAGGCAUGAUCAUGCUUAUCACCUGGUGGAAACCCUUCAGAGACUCUCCACUCCCCAGAGCAGGCACCACAUCGUU